rnacentral:piRNA from 1 species
UCUGCCGAGGAUCUGCCUUACUAUGGUGGU